rnacentral:ncRNA from 1 species
GAUGAUAGAGGCGCGGAACUCUAAUAGUAAGCAUCCCGAGGUUGGAUAGAACCGAUGACUGAUGCUGAAAGGGGAGGCCGCCGAAAUGGUUAGUGAAUCUAUUCUCUCUAACUGUUGGUUCUACAUUUAAGAAAUGUAGAAUUGUCAGAAUCUGAACGGUUCUGGAGGGCUAUC